rnacentral:rRNA from 1 species
GAGUUUGAUCCUGGCUCAGAUUGAACGCUGGCGGCAUGCCUUACACAUGCAAGUCGAGCGGCAGCGCGGGGGCAACCCUGGCGGCGAGCGGCGAACGGGUGAGUAAUACAUCGGAACGUGUCCUGUCGUGGGGGAUAACCAGUCGAAAGAUUGGCUAAUACCGCAUGACCUCGUAAGAGAAAAGCGGGGGACCGUAAGGCCUCGCGCGACUGGAGCGGCCGAUGUCGGAUUAGCUAGUUGGCGGGGUAAAAGCCCACCAAGGCGACGAUCCGUAGCUGGUUUGAGAGAACGACCAGCCACACUGGGACUGAGACACGGCCCAGACUCCUACGGGAGGCAGCAGUGGGGAAUUUUGGACAAUGGGGGCAACCCUGAUCCAGCCAUGCCGCGUGUGUGAAGAAGGCCUUCGGUUGU